AGCAGGGGGAGAGUCCGGGAGGGCGCUGCACUUCGACGCCUCCUGGACUGUGCCGGCGCCUCCGCCCUUGCUGCGGGGCAGUGCGCGGCUCGCCCCCGGACUGCAGGAUUGCUGUCUCCUCCCGCUGAGUAACUGCACGGGUUAUUGACUCCACCACCUCCCCGGGCAGCCCACUCCAAUGUUUAAUCACCCUUUCAGUGAAGAACUUCUUCCCAAUAUCCAGCGCAAACCUCCCCUUCCACAGCUUGUGCUAUUGCUGGUUGCCUGGGAGAAGGUGCCAGCCCUCACCUGGCUACAGCUUUCUUUCAGGUGGACUAUUCUGCUCCCUGUCCCCAUCUACUAGCUCAGGAGACCAGGACAUUGCACUCAAGAAAACAUCCUGAUGGCAAGUCUCUCUUCCUGGAUUAAUAGGUUUUUCAUCCAAACCCCUAUGGAAAAGUACUUUCUCCCUGGCUGUGGAACAAUGGUGUGUUAAAUAUUUUUGUAAAAGAUCAACAUAAUAUUGGGAAAAUUGGAUGGGUACCUGUAUUGGAUUUGUGUGGCAAGGUUUUAUUAGUGGGGGAGGCUACAGGGUGGCUUCUGUGAAAACCUGAUAGAAGCGUCCCCCAUGUCUGACAGGACCAACACCAGAUGGCUCCAAGACAGGCCCGCCACUGGCCAAGGCUGAGCCUGUCAGUGACAGUGGUAGCACCUCUGCGAUAGGAUAGUUAAGAAAAGAAAAAAAAAAUUAUUGUGCAGAAAUACUUGCAGUCAGAGAAGAAAGGAGUGGAAAUAAGUGAGAGAAACAGCUUUUGCAGACAUCAAGAUCAGUGAAGAAGAGGCAGGAGGUGGCCAUUUUCAGAUCACAAAAUAUCCUAAGGCACCCAGAAGGAACAUCAAGUCCAACUCUUCAGUGAAUGGCCCACGGUGGGAUCAAUCCCACAACCUCGAUGUUAUUAGCACCAUUCUCUAACCAGCUGAGCUAAUCUCAGGGUCAUAAUACUCCAGGUGCCAGAGCUGAGAUUCCCCUGCAGCCUGUGGCGAAGACCAUGAUGAGGCAGCAGUGCCCCUGCAGCCCAUGGAGGGCAAUGGUGUAUCAGAUAUCCACCUGCAGCCUGCGGAGGACCCCACACUGCAGCGAGUGGGUGCCCAAAGGAGGCUGUGACCCUGUGACCCCCUGGAGCAGGACUUGUGGACCUAUGAAAAGAGAAGCCCAUAGCAGAUUUGCUAGCAGGACUUGUGACCCUGUGGAGGGGCCGUGCUGGAGAAGUUCAUGAGGAGCUGGAGGUCAUGGGAAGGACUCACAUUGGAGAAGUUUGUGGAGAACUCUCAAGGGGAGGGACCCCACAACGGAGCAGGGAAAGAGUGUGAGUAGUUCUACCCCUGUCAUAGAAGGAGCAGACACAUACAUUCAUGUGUGAUAAACUGACUACAACUCCCAUUCCCUGUCACCCUGCUCUUCUGGUGGAGGGGACAUAGAGAAAACUGGGAGUGAAGUUGAGCCUGGGAAGAAAGGAGAGUUGAGGAAGGUGUUUUUUAAAGUUUGGGGUUAUUUCUUACUAUCCUACUCCAAUAUGAUUGGUAAUAAAAAUAAAUUCAUUUCAUUUUCCCCAGUCCCCAGGUUUUGCCCCUGACAGUAAUUAAUGCUUAAUCUUUACCUGCCUUUAUCUUAACCCAUGUGGCUUUUGUUAUUGUCUCUCCCUGUCCAGCUGAGGAGGGGUGUGACAGAGCAGCAUUGGUUGACACAUGCCAUCCAGAUAGAGUCAAGCCGCCACAGUAUCCCUUUUGUUUCUGCCCAGCUUCACUUCAUUUUUAUUUUCCUCACUUGUACUCUGCGGCAGACCUUAAUGUCAAUGCCUGCACAGUGAGGGCUUCCUGCUAAAUAUUAUCUCUAAGAAACAAAGCAGCUACAAAUUAUGAAGGGCAGAGAUAAGGGUGAUUACCCUGCUAGCACACUGAGGAUACAGGGCCCACAUGGCCAGUUGCUGCAUCAGCCAUAUGAUGGCUAAACUGGCUGCAAUCCCAUAAAUUUCUUUCCUUUCUAGGACAGAUGGGAGCUUUUGAACUGAUGGGGGGCAGUGAAGCAUCACAGCUUAGUCUUGGACCAUUACAAAUUAUGUAGGAAAGGCUAUUGGUUGCAAGGAAGCUUCACAGUUUGGAGGGAAAAGAAGAAAAUAAAAAGUCAGGGAGAUGUGCACCUAAUCUACUGCUGAGGAAAUGAGAGAAAUAAAUACAGACUGAAUGUGAAGUAACAAUGCUGAACCAUAUAAUUUAAAAAGCUUAAAAAUACAGGGAAAAGGUCUACUGUUCUUGUGGCUGCUAAAGCAGAUGUAAGUUUUGCGAUAGGUUUUCGUGUUUGCAAAUUCACAACCUCCAUGGCUCAGGCUGAUAGUGGGGUGUCCAUUUAAAGCUACUGUGCUAUUGCAUAUAAAAAUCAAAAAUAGCGACUCUAACCUCAGCACAACCACUGAUUCCUGACCACAGCCCACUGCUUCUGCCCGGGAUGCUUUAAAGACUGCUGUCCGGGCUAUCAAUCCCCUGCUUUAACGGCUAGAUCCCACAGGCUGGCAGUGCUCCCAGCACAGGGAGCACGUUAGCAUCUGAUUUUUGCUGGCCUCUCCCGGGAGAGCUAUGGGAGGUUUCUUCAGAAUUAUUUUGUUCCUUGCAGCUUUCUGUUAAACAGGCUGACACUGGGUCUGCUGCAGAGAGGGGAAUAAAAAAGAGGCUUUUUGUAGCAUAACAAUGCCUUGUGCUGAUGUGCAGUGGGCAAUUAUGUAACCAACGCUAAAUCUUUCUAUAAUUAGAACAAGCACCUAGUUAGAGUGAUCAGAGCUCUUUUGUGUGCGCCUGCAUGGGGCUAUGCAAGAAAAACCUUGGCUUGAAAGAAAAAUACUGGCUUGAUUUCCCUUCCCUUUUCAACUGGUGAAUAAAUUAAAUCUCAGAUUACCCCAAAUUGCUGUGAAAGACAAACUGUGAAAAGCGUUUCCUUUUCAUUCCCGUUGAAGACUUUUGCAUCCCAGGUGUGAAUCUCAUGAAAUGCAGAUGCAAACCCAAAGACUCAGCCCCUCCAUCCCAAGCACCCGAGCAGCAAGAGCAGCCAGACUGCCUGAAGAGAGGGCAGAAGGUCAGCAUCAGCCCUCCCUGUU